AGAGUUUGAUCAUGGCUCAGGACGAACGCUGGCGGCGUGCCUAAAACAUGCAAGUCGAACGGAGUAGCAAUACUCAGUGGCGAACGGCGGAGUAAGACGUGAACAACGUGCCCUGAAGUCCGGGACAAACGCAGAAAUGCCAUAAAUACCGGAUGUGGCGAUUCUCUGGCAUCAGAGAAUCUUUAAAUGGUUUUUCGCUUCAGGAGCGGUUCACGGCCCAUCAGCUAGUUGGCGGGGUAAAAGCCCACCAAGGCGACGACGGGUAGGGGGUCUGAGAGGAUGAUCCCCCCGAGUGGGACUGAGACACGGCCCACACACCUACGGGUGGCAGCAGUUGGGAAUCUUGCACAAUGGGGGAAACCCUGAUGCAGCGACGCCGCGUGGAGGAUGAAGGGUUUAGGCUCGUAAACUCCUUUUAUGGGGAAAGACUUAGGACGGUACCCCA
rnacentral:rRNA from 1 species